UUGCAGGAACCUUUAAUCUGGGCCUAGCUAGAUGAAAGCAGCUACACGUGUAACUAGCAAUGCUGUAAUGGCAGCUUUGAUUACAGCGUAGGUAUCUUCAAAAAUAGAUGAUCUUGGGAAUCAAGGUCAGGAUGUCAUUAUGAGAAUUACUGGCUUUCCUAAAAGUGCUGAGGAAAACAAAAAUGCAAACUGAAAAACUUAUUGAUUCUUCCAUUUUAACCCUGGUGACCAGCUACAUCAAACUGAUCUGCCGGGAGCCAUCACAGGCAAAUCCACAAUAAAAGAAACGCAGGGUGGAUCAGCAGCAGACAUCAGAAACCUUCCCAGAGGAGAGGUUGCUGUUCCCCACCACCACACUCCCGGGCAGCAGCCGCAUACCAGAGAGGCAAAUCACACACCAGUGGUGCUUGGUGGUCAGAGUGCUUUGCCGUGUGACCUGGAAGGCGCGUUUGGAUGGGGGAACAGCCGUCUGGCAGCGAGGACAACGGGCGGAGAAUAGAGAGCACUAACAAAAGUGGAAUUUUCAAGAGAUAAAGUGGCAGCGAGGACAACGGGUGGAGAAUAGAGAACACUAACAAAA
rnacentral:lncRNA from 1 species